UUGCUGCUUUGCUGACGAGUGGCGGACGGGUGAGUAAUGUCUGGGAAACUGCCUGAUGGAGGGGGAUAACUACUGGAAACGGUAGCUAAUACCGCAUAACGUCGCAAGACCAAAGAGGGGGACCUUCGGGCCUCUUGCCAUCGGAUGUGCCCAGAUGGGAUUAGCUAGUAGGUGGGGUAACGGCUCACCUAGGCGACGAUCCCUAGCUGGUCUGAGAGGAUGACCAGCCACACUGGAACUGAGACACGGUCCAGACUCCUACGGGAGGCAGCAGUGGGGAAUAUUGCACAAUGGGCGCAAGCCUGAUGCAGCCAUGCCGCGUGUAUGAAGAAGGCCUUCGGGUUGUAAAGUACUUUCAGCGGGGAGGAAGGCGAUAAGGUUAAUAACCUUGUCGAUUGACGUUACCCGCAGAAGAAGCACCGGCUAACUCCGUGCCAGCAGCCGCGGUAAUACGGAGGGUGCAAGCGUUAAUCGGAAUUACUGGGCGUAAAGCGCACGCAGGCGGUCUGUCAAGUCGGAUGUGAAAUCCCCGGGCUCAACCUGGGAACUGCAUUCGAAACUGGCAGGCUAGAGUCUUGUAGAGGGGGGUAGAAUUCCAG
rnacentral:rRNA from 1 species